rnacentral:rRNA from 1 species
CGGAGGGAAACCGAGUCUUAAUUGGGCGUUAAGUUGCAGGGUAUAGACCCGAAACCCGGUGAUCUAGCCAUGGGCAGGUUGAAGGUUGGGUAACACUAACUGGAGGACCGAACCGACUAAUGUUGAAAAAUUAGCGGAUGACCUGUGGCUGGGGGUGAAAGGCCAAUCAAACCGGGAGAUAGCUGGUUCUCCCCGAAAGCUAUUUAGGUAGCGCCUCGUGAAUUCAUCUCCGGGGGUAGAGCACUGUUUCGGCUAGGGGGCCAUCCCGGCUUACCAACCCGAUGCAAACUGCGAAUACCGGAGAAUGUUAUCACGGGAGACACACGGCGGGUGCUAACGUCCGUCGUGAAGAGGGAAACAACCCAGACCGCCAGCUAAGGUCCCAAAGUCAUGGUUAAGUGGGAAACGAUGUGGGAAGGCCCAGACAGCCAGGAUGUUGGCUUAGAAGCAGCCAUCAUUUAAAGAAAGCGUAAUAGCUCACUGGUCGAGUCGGCCUGCGCGGAAGAUGUAACGGGGCUAAACCAUGCACCGAAGCUGCGGCAGCGAACGUAUCACCCAAGACAACUUUACGGAGUUGACGAUUGACGGAGCGAAGCGACGUCAAAGCGUUCAUUAAAGUCGAGUUGGCUUAGGGAUACGUUCGUUGGGUAGGGGAGCGUUCUGUAAGCCUGUGAAGGUGUGUCGUGAGGCAUGCUGGAGGUAUCAGAAGUGCGAAUGCUGACAUAAGUAACGAUAAAGCGGGUGAAAAGCCCGCUCGCCGGAAGACCAAGGGUUCCUGUCCAACGUUAAUCGGGGCAGGGUGAGUCGACCCCUAAGGCGAGGCCGAAAGGCGUAGUCGAUGGGAAACGGGUUAAUAUUCCCGUACUUGGUGUUACUGCGAAGGGGGGACGGAGAAGGCUAUGUUGGCCGGGCGACGGUUGUCCCGGUUUAAGCGUGUAGGUGUGUGUUCCAGGUAAAUCCGGUUCACUUUAACACUGAGGCGUGACGACGAGGCACUACGGUGCUGA